rnacentral:rRNA from 1 species
UACGUAGGGUGCGAGCGUUGUCCGGAAUUACUGGGCGUAAAGAGCUCGUAGGUGGUUUGUCGCGUUGUCCGUGAAAACUCACAGCUCAACUGUGGGCGUGCGGGCGAUACGGGCAGACUGGAGUACUGCAGGGGAGACUGGAAUUCCUGGUGUAGCGGUGAAAUGCGCAGAUAUCAGGAGGAACACCGGUGGCGAAGGCGGGUCUCUGGGCCGAAAUUGACGCUGAGGAGCGAAAGCGUGGGGAGCAAACAGG